GCCAACGUAGCUCAACUGGUAGAGCGGCUGACUUGUAAUCAGCAGGUUGGGGGUUCGAGUCCCUUCGUUGGCUCCA
rnacentral:tRNA from 5 species